rnacentral:rRNA from 1 species
UACGUAGGGAGCUAGCGUUGUUCGGAAUUACUGGGCGUAAAGCGCGCGUAGGCGGCUUUGUAAGUUAGAGGUGAAAGCCCGGAGCUCAACUCCGGAACUGCCUUUAAAACUGCAUCGCUUGAAUCCAGGAGAGGUGAGUGGAAUUCCGAGUGUAGAGGUGAAAUUCGUAGAUAUUCGGAAGAACACCAGUGGCGAAGGCGGCUCACUGGACUGGUAUUGACGCUGAGGUGCGAAAGCGUGGGGAGCAAACAGG